UGGUUUAAUUUGUUAUUCUAGCAAUAUUUGCUUAAGGAGUCUACUGCCAAGUUAAAAUUUAAGCUUUUUGAAUUACUAUAUGCAGUGCUGUUUUAAAAAAUAAUAUAAAAAAAUAUUAGCAGUCUUUCUAUUUUGAGGCGAAUUUGAGAGGCAAAUGAUGUUCUUAAUUAUAAGAGAUCUAGAAUUGCAAGUAAAGAGGGAGGCCCUUGAUGUCUUUGAUUAUAUAUGCUUAGGAGUUGGCACUACAUGGAAGUUACUAAGGCAUGGAAAAGGUACCUGAAUAAUAUCUAGACACUAAGGAGCAGACAUUAAAAAUAAAAUAAAAAAACUAGUUUCUAAUGAUAUGAUUGGUAUUUGACCUGAUUGUUAUUUUGGUGUUGUCAUCAACAAAGUUUUCUUUAUCCUUUGCUAAACGCACUCUGGAUCAAUCAUUAUGCUUCUAUGAGGUCGAAGCCACACUGAAAUUCUCAAAUACUAUAACAAAUCCAGGACAAUCCUUCUUAGGGUGACCAACCUACAACACAAAGAGAUUAUCAUACUGCAAGUUCUUGAAGUGGGCAUAUUGUAAUCAAGAGAAUGUGCUCCAAUUUCGAGAAAGAACAAAUAAACUGUUAAGGAAUGAGAGAGAACUCGAAAAGAGACUCGACGAUGUCAAAAAGAGGGAGAUUGAGCUCUAUAAGAGAUCGGAUGAGAUUGAAAAGAGAGAGAUGCUACUAUCCAAUAUAACCAAGGAGGUUCGGAAGAAGGAGUUUAUGCUUGUUAUACGUGAAGCUGAAAUAUCGCGUUCAUGCACACUACUCCGAAUGUAUUGGGCUUUUGCAUUUGUAGUUGGUUGUUGUAUUGGACUCCAUAGUUGAUGUAGAUAUAUUAAGUUCUUAGAUUCUGCCUAAAGUUGGUGCUAACUUGUAAUCUUAAACUCACUUUGGAGGUUGACCAAUUUGUAAAACAGUUAAAGUAGAACACUAGAAAUAUUGGUAGUUUAGUGCCAAUUGAUAA